rnacentral:rRNA from 1 species
AAUAGAUACCCGGUAGUCCACACCGUAAACGUUGGGCGCUAGGUGUGGGACUCAUUCCACGAGUUCCGUGCCGCAGCUAACGCAUUAAGCGCCCCGCCUGGGGAGUACGGCCGCAAGGCUAAAACUCAAAGGAAUUGACGGGGGCCCGCACAAGCGGCGGAGCAUGCGGAUUAAUUCGAUGCAACGCGAAGAACCUUACCUAGGUUUGACAUAUACGAGAAGCCUCUAGAGAUAGAGGUCUCUUUGGACACUUGUAUACAGGUGGUGCAUGGCCGUCGUCAGCUCGUGUCGUGAGAUGUUGGGUUAAGUCCCGCAACGAGCGCAACCCUCGUCUUAUGUUGCCAGCACGUAAUGGUGGGGACUCAUAAGAGACUGCCGGGGUCAACUCGGAGGAAGGUGGGGAUGACGUCAAGUCAUCAUGCCCCUUAUGCCUAGGGCUUCACGCAUGCUACAAUGGCUGGUACAAAGGGCUGCGAUACCGCAAGGUGGAGCGAAUCCCAAAAAGCCAGUCUCAGUUCGGAUUGGGGU